UACGUAGGGGGCAAGCGUUGUCCGGAAUUACUGGGCGUAAAGCGCGCGUAGGUGGCUUGAUAAGUUGGAUGUGAAAUCCCCGGGCUCAACCUGGGAAGUGCAUCCAAAACUGUCUGGCUAGAGUGUGGUAGAGGGUAGUGGAAUUUCCAGUGUAGCGGUGAAAUGCGUAGAUAUUGGAAGGAACACCAGUGGCGAAGGCGACUACCUGGACUAUCAUUGACACUGAGGUGCGAAAGCGUGGGGAGCAAACAGG
rnacentral:rRNA from 1 species